rnacentral:lncRNA from 1 species
CCGCCACCACCGAGCUGUGCUCACAACACCCGCCCCCCUCCCCCGCCCGCUUGCGUCGCCGGUAAAUGACGUAAAAACACAGCGUCUCGUCCGGCCCGGCCUUCGAGGACCCUCGUGACUGACAAGCCGGUGCGCCAAUCAGGUGCAGCUGGAGCGUCACGCCAAGGAGCCGGAGCGGGUAAUUGCCGACCUGGCGGAGCUGCUUGGUACUGGUUAUCACUGCACUUUAUCAAAUGGCAUCCCCAUUUCAAUUGAGAAUGAAGAGGUUCUUGGAUAAAGAACUUUAAAAAUCAGGCAUACCAUUUUUAGUUAUCCCCUACCUCUCCAGUCCAAGGAAGAACUGGUUGUUUCUUAUUGAUGACCUCCAUCUCACAGGUAAGUAAGAUCCUUUGUGUUUGGCUGUGAGGCUCACUUCAUCACCUCUUACACCUCAUGGUUUUUAGCCCUCGAAGAAGAGGCCUUCUCACCCAAGGCCCUGACGUCACCACACCAGCUGAGGCAGAAACUUUUUUCACCUGAUGGUUGGUGUCUCCUCUCUGGCCUUUAGGAAAUAUUCUUCUCCCUUAUUAACUUUAACACUUAUAAUACAAGUGCAAAUAUAUUAAUUUGCUCACUGCUCACUACUAUGAGUCAGGCACUGUGCUAAGCACUCUUUAUACAUCACCCUGUUUAUUUUAGUUUUUUAAAGGUAUUCAUCUACAAGUUACUUUUAUUUCUCAUUAAAUGAACACAGAGUUCAUUAAUAACAGUUAUGUUUAUUAUACAUAUCCAUCAGUGCAG